rnacentral:SRP_RNA from 1 species
GUCCGGGUCCGAUGCAACGGAAAUCCACGAACCGUGUCAGGUCGGGAACGAAGCAGCACUAAGAGGAACCUUCUGUGUGACGUCGGGAAGCCCUGGCAGG